rnacentral:rRNA from 1 species
UACGUAGGGGGCAAGCGUUGUCCGGAAUUACUGGGCGUAAAGCGCGUGUAGGCGGGACGGCAAGUCGGACGUGAAAGGCUCGGGCUCAACCCGAGAUGGCCGUUCGAAACUGCCGUUCUUGAGGGUCGAAGAGGAGAGUGGAAUUCCUGGUGUAGCGGUGAAAUGCGUAGAUAUCUGGAGGAACACCGGUGGCGAAGGCGGCAUCCUGGACCGACACUGACGCUGAGGCGCGAAAGCUAGGGUAGCAAACGGG